rnacentral:rRNA from 1 species
AUUGAACGCUGGCGGCAGGCCUAACACAUGCAAGUCGAGCGGAUGAAGGGAGCUUGCUCCUGGAUUCCGCGGCGGACGGGUGAGUAAUGCCUAGGAAUCUGCCUGGUAGUGGGGGAUAACGUCCGUAAACGGGCGCUAAUACCGCAUACGUCCUGAUGGUGAACGUGGUGGAUCUUCGGACCUCACGCUAUCAGAUGAGCCUAGGUCGGAUUAGCUAGUUGGUGGGGUAAAGGCCUACCAAGGCGACGAUCCGUAACUGGUCUGAGAGGAUGAUCAGUCACACUGGAACUGAGACACGGUCCAGACUCCUACGGGAGGCAGCAGUGGGGAAUAUUGGACAAUGGGCGAAAGCCUGAUCCAGCCAUGCCGCGUGUGUGAAGAAGGUCUUCGGAUUGUAAAGCACUUUAAGUAGGGAGGAAGGGCAGUAAGUUAAUCCCUUGCUGUUUUGACGUUACCAACAGAAUAAGCACCGGCUAACUUCGUG